AACUUAUCAAAUAUCUUUCAUCCAAAUCACCUAAGUUCUCAAUUAUAGGUUAAUUAUAGAUUUAGUAGGAAUGAUUUGUUUAGGGUUCUGAGCUAUCUAUGCUAAAUGUAUAUGUGGGGUUCUGGAUGUAAUCUUUGAUCCUUGAGGUUCACAUCAGUUUGGUUUCAGAGCUUUGGCCUUGGAUAAAUCUUUAGGUAUCCUUUGUAU
rnacentral:lncRNA from 1 species